rnacentral:lncRNA from 1 species
CAUUUAAAAGUUAAUGACACAAAUCUUGAAGCAGAAAGGAUUUUUAAUUCUUUUAGCUUUAAGUUUAGACCUAAACCAAAAUGUCCAAAUCAGACUAACAAAACCAACACAAAAGAAGGAAGGAGAAGAAGGCGGAGCUGGCUCUUCUGAUAGAAGGUCCUUGUGUAUUUCAGAAGGGCUGAGCCCAGGAUGUUCAACAGAAUUGGAAUCCACCUGCCUGAUGCUGGCGCUGUUUCCUCUUAUGCAGUCUCUGCAUGCUAGAUGACAAGAUGUAAAGAAAAAUUACUAAUUAAUGCUCUGCUGGCUCCAAAACAGCAAUAGAGAGGAAAUUCUUCUUUCACUUUAGCUCCUGCAUGAGCCUCAAGCUCUGUUCAUUAAUAGUUUGGAGCCUGUGCUCAGCCUUGAAGCUUCCACCAAUCUUGUGGCUCAAACUGCCCAUCCCUGGACCUCGAGUUCAAUUCUGGAGACACAAUGAGGUGUCCUCAACUGAAUGACAGAAACACCCUCACAGGACCCCCUCAUUUAAGAAGCUUCUUUUUAGAAGAGAUAGAAACCAUCAAAAAAAUUCAUAACUGGGAAAAAUGCAGGGAGUUACUGACCUGGGGUGGGCGGCAGCUCCACCUGAUGCAUCUACAACACAAUCCCUGUCCCGGUGGACCAGAGAACCAGAGAACCAGAGAACCAGAGGACCAGGACUUCUGCUAUAUGUUAGGAAGCUGCACCCAUGACUCUUAACAACAUGGUCAUCUAAAUAAGAACAGCAUAUGACAAUAUGUUAGCACACCAAUGUAGAUGAAGGAGUUCUCACAAUGCCCUACCCCAGGUGAAGAACUCUUAAUGGUUGCUAAGAGAAGAGAAUCCAUCUUCACCAGGGACAAGCCCCUGUAAGGGACCUGUAUUCAGGGCCAUAGGCUCUAUCCGGAGUGAGCUCUAGCCUCCUCCCUGACCCCACAGCUCCACCAUGUGUUG